rnacentral:rRNA from 1 species
GAUGAACGCUGGCGGCGUGCCUAAUACAUGCAAGUCGAGCGAACGGACGAGAAGCUUGCUUCUCUGAUGUUAGCGGCGGACGGGUGAGUAACACGUGGAUAACCUACCUAUAAGACUGGGAUAACUUCGGGAAACCGGAGCUAAUACCGGAUAAUAUUUUGAACCGCAUGGUUCAAAAGUGAAAGACGGUCUUGCUGUCACUUAUAGAUGGAUCCGCGCUGCAUUAGCUAGUUGGUAAGGUAACGGCUUACCAAGGCAACGAUGCAUAGCCGACCUGAGAGGGUGAUCGGCCACACUGGAACUGAGACACGGUCCAGACCCCUACGGAAGGCAGCAGUAGGGAAUCUUCCGCAAUGGGCGAAAGCCUGACGGAGCAACGCCGCGUGAGUGAUGAAGGUCUUCGGAUCGUAAAACUCUGUAUUAGGGAAGAACAUAUGUGUAAGUAACUGUGCACAUCUUGACGGUACCUAAUCAGAAAGCCACGGCUAACUACGUG